GACCACUCCAGUGGCUUAGUGGUUAAAGCAUCCACCUUAGAUGUGGGAGGCCAUGGGUUCAAUCCCCAGCUGAGUUA